rnacentral:snRNA from 1 species
CUCCAGCGUCAACGCAGAGCUCC